rnacentral:tRNA from 2 species
GGGUGUGUAGCUCAGCGGUAGAGCACUGCCUCGACACGGCAGGGGUCACAGGUUCAAUCCCUGUCACACCCACCA